UAUUUUAUUUAUUUAUUUAUUUAUAGUAAUAACAAAAACAACCACCAUGAACUAAAUUACUUGAUUUUGAAUUCUUUAUUAUGGUUACACUGCGCAUAGUGACAUCAUGAUGACAUCUUGAACCAGAAACAUGCAUUGUUGAGAAAGAUUAUAGGGCAAUCCAGAAUCAACAUGACAGUAGAUUUUAUUACUUGAAAGAAAAUAGAACUCAAUAUUCUUUUUAUUUUUUAUUUUUUAUUUUAGUUAAGGCUACGUGAGGACACAAAUGGAAUUUAGCUGCAACUACGUAUGAAAAAUUAGUGCUUUACCACUUGCUAGAAGCUCCCACAUACUCUGAGAUUUAACUAGCUAAACCCAACCUUAGAUAACGAAAACAUAAAUGCAUUACUAUGUCAACAGAUUAUGCCGCGUCUAAAAGUAAUUAUACUUUUCAAAACGUGUAACUAAGAAAUAUCUGUAAGUUGCAGUAAGUAAAUCUUCCAAAAGCUCUACUAAAUUUUAUCACUGAUAUGAGAGCACGCUCCAUUUACGUUUCGUUUUAAAGUUGCUAAUUGUAUUGUUCUGAGUUCUCACAUGGAUCAGUAAAUUGUAACUUUUUUAUUAAGUCCUUCUACUGAUCUAUUACCAGAAAAUGAAGUCCUACUUAUCUUUAGCAAUGAUAAAGUUUGAGAAAGCUAGUAUAUAUAGGACAGAUUGCCCCAUGAAGGUAUUAAAACAGCAUGUGCUCUUUUCAUUUUUCUACUAAUGCCGCUAUAUUAUAAUCAGGGAAUAUUUAGUCGAAUGAGGAUUUGGGUCAAUUUAGGAUGAGUGGCAGAUGAAAUCUUUGGUUCAAAGUAAAUAGAUUAUGUGGCAGGGUUGCAUUUUAAAAAGUCUGAAGUUGUGUUUAAGUUUGGACGGCUAGUUUUCUUUGACAGCUUCUAGUGGUUUCUCUGUGUUGAUUAAUUAUUCAAUUCUACCUUUGGUAACCUUCCUUUUUGUGUUCCAAUAACUUUAAUGUUUGAACUUUACUUUAGCAAACAAGUGAGUCUCUAUCGCAAUCUGCUCAUAUGUUUUUGGCCUGUUAUACAAGUCAAAUCAAGUUUUUGUUUGCUUUUAUGCCCAUUUGGAUCGUUUGAUACCAAGUUUGAGUCCAGAUAUGUAUUGUUCUACAGGUUCUUCAUGGCUAAAUACCACGAGUUCUAUGAGGACGCGGCUUCGGUUGGUCGUGGCAAUAACAAGUUUGAGUCCAGAUCCCUAUAAUGUUCUCCAGUUCUUUAUGGCUAAAUACGUUGAGUUUUAUGGCGACGCAGCUUCGGUUGGUGGGGGCAAUCAAGGUUUAGGAUUAUAUGUUAAUUUAGGUAUUCAGUUAUUGUGAGUGGUAUGAGCUUGGUUUUGAUGUACAAUUUAAGUUUAUCUAAUGAAUAUCGUUUCCUAUAAAAAAAAACUUGUGAAAAAAAUUUGCUUACUUGGAAUCAUCAGAUUUAAGCCAAGUAAAAUACAUAAGAUUAGUUGAAGGUAUGAAAAUGAGUUUAAGGGAGAACCAGGCCGUCUUUGAGAUUUCGGAGACUAUGUGCCAAAUUUAUAAAAUGGUCGCUCCUUAAGAUAGUUUUCCAAAAAAGUCGGGCACAAGAAAACAAUAACUUAAAUGAAAACAAACUUUAGGGCUCACGGAUUAUAAGUUUACAAAUGUCAUUAAAUAAUAAGAAAAAAUAGAGUUACAAACAUAACCUUCACCACAUAAUCUAAAGCAGUACAAUCUUAAACAACCAAACAAGAAAAAAGCUUAAAUAACUCUAACUUUAAAGUUUCACUUGAAUAUAUAGCAUUAUUAUGUAAUAAAAUUCAAAAAAUAAAAUAAAAUCCUUUUUAGGGUGUUGUUUCAAAUAUCUCAUUGUGCACUCUAAAUUUUUAUAUUUAGAAAGAAAAAAUAUACACUUAUAAAGAAUGCACAAUGAGAUUUUUAAAUGCUAACAAAAACUUUUAGGGGGCCUUUCAAACUUAAAACCCUAUGCGAUUUCACCAUUCGCUCCCUCAAAGCCGCCUCCGGAGAGAACCCCAAGUUUUCUGUUUUCUUAACUCUAUUAUAUGCGUAGGGCACUUAGCUAGAGUAUAUUUACUUGAUCUGGUAAAUAUGCGUGCAUUAUGUAUUGUCUUUGUUAUAUUAUGAUUCUUUUUUUUUUAAUGAUAGAUUUGUUAGAUUAGAUGUUAGAUUAAGGAGCUGAUAGGAUUUGAACUCAUAUCAUAGUGCAAGGACAACAUUUAUCUCUAUCACUGUGGGAAAGGGUCACUUGCUUAUAUUAUGAUUCAUUGAAUGACUGUUGUUUUUCUUACUCGAUAAAGAAAUUAAAAAAACGGUGGAUGGGUAUGUUAACCAAAGAAAAUUGAAGAGUUUGAUCCCAUCAAUUAAUUUCUCAAAGUUCAACUGACAUGCAUGUGUGCUAAUCAUAUCUUAGAAGAAAAAAGUGAUCAUUUUGGUUCUGAUCCCUAAUCAACCUAGUUGUUAGAAUGAAACUUUAUUUGUUUAAAUAGUUUGAUCAAGGUCUCUAGCAUCAUUUCAGGGAUUUAGCUCAUGCAUUUAUGCAUUCAAUAUCCCAUAAGUUAUGAAAUUUAAACAAAUCCAAAUAAUAUUGAUACAAAUAUAACAAUUACGUAAAAAUCAAUAAUAGAGUAAUUUGUUCUUCACAUAGUUCUAGCAAAAAAAAAAUUAAAAAAAAUAUUUACCCACGUAAUUAUUAAUAAGGAAAACUAAUGAAAAUGACUUGAAAACUUUGAGUUUUAACGAUAAGGACAAAAUAAAGGGUAAAGUGAAUAGUACCAAGAUUAACUUUUUAGUGUAAAAAUAUGGUUUUUCAUUAAAGUGAACAAUACCGAGAGUUUUUCGUUAAAGUUCCCUUAUUAAUAUAGUGUAAGUAAUAACUAUUGAUAUAUUUUAAAGCAUAAAAUAAACACAUAUAAUUAGCAUGGGUACGUUCAUAAAUAUUGGUACAAAUUAAAUUAAAAAUAUGGGUACAUAUUAAAAUUCAAAACUAUAGGUACAUAUAAUUAGCAUGGGUCCAUUCAUAAAUAUUGGUACAAAUUAAAUUAAAAAUAUAGGUACAUAUGAAAAUCGACACACCCCGACCGAGAUCAAGGCAUGCAGGUCGUCACGUAAGAGUGACGUAGCCAUGUGCACAGUGCGGAAGCGAUAAUGAUAAGAAUUGUACGAAUAAUUAAAAACCGAAUUACUAGAGUGCACUACUAAACAGAUAGUGAUAGGAGUUAGUUACAACAGUAAACACUCCUAAUCAGAGCAUAAAGUCUAGGUGCAGUCCAGUAGGACAAGUACUAGUUAUAUAGUACCAGGAAUGUCCUACUAUUAUUUAGAUAAGUC
rnacentral:lncRNA from 1 species